UACGUAGGGGGCAAGCGUUGUCCGGAUUUAUUGGACGUAAAGAGCUCGUAGGCGGCUUUGUCAGUCGGGUGUGAAACCUCCAGGCUCAACCUGGAGCCGCCACCCGAUACUGCAAUAGCUAGAGUCCGGUAGGGGAGCAUGGAACUCCUGGUGUAGCGGUGAAAUGCGCAGAUAUCAGGAAGAACACCAGUGGCGAAGGCGGUGCUCUGGGCCGGAACUGACGCUGAGGAGCGAAAGCGUGGGGAGCAAACAGG
rnacentral:rRNA from 1 species